CUGUUUAAGGGGCGCUAGCUGCCAAAUUCAUGUUCUUCAUCGAUUUUAAUAAAAUUCACAUAACGUGUACAUAUAGUGUUGAAUUGUUUAUUAAAAUGUGACGCACAAUCUUGGCUGAUAUGCAUAAAACCAUUAUAUUUCAUGACACUGCAUGAAAAAGAAAUUGACUUAUCGCAUAAUACCAGAACCAGAGACAUAUAUAUAUUGAAUCUAAUAUCUCUGCCAGAACUAAAAAAUAAACUACCGUAAGUCCACAUAAGAGGGUAUGGAUGUGAAUUAACAGAAUAGAGAACAAAGGACAAAGAAAAAAAGGAAUAAAGAAUAGUGAAAGAAAGAGAAUAAUGGAAAAAAGUGUUGUCAGCAAGAUGAAAAGGACAAGUAUGCAGUUCAAAAUUCAAAAUGUGGAUAAGCUGAGGUUCAAGGUCUUACCUUUGCAGAUUUUCAUAUUUUGCAUGAAGGAAUUUAAAGGUUAUAUGAUGGACGGCGGAGAAAGAAAAAAACAACUUUUCAAUUAUCCUGCUCCUGGAUAAAUGUAAAACAUCUUGUUUUUCGAAGGAUUGAAAUUCACCACCUAGAAUAAAUGGAGAAAACAUAAAAACAAGACCAGAAUAAAUUCAAAGACAAAAGUUGGAUCAGUUAUUAUUUUCAUCACUCAGUCAAUGAUUUGAAGUUCUUUUAAAUACAAAAAAAUAUUGAAUCCACAAUAAUGUCAAAGUUCUGUGCUGAAUGACCACAAAUUGGACUAUACCAUCGAACAAUGCUGGAUGAUAAGAAACUAUUAAUGUUUUGUGUUCAGGGAUAUUGUGAAAAAAAAUAGAUUAACUUAAAUAGCUAAUAGUACAUGUAGUAUUUUAAGCCUAACAAUAGAGUUUUUAUUGAUUUCAAAUGGGAAAUAAUUGUGUUUCAAGAAAGUAUUCUAUAAUUCAUGAAUAAACAUAUAUUGAUACUUACAUUACCUACUUUGUUGUUUAAAAUAGAUAUAGGAAGAUGUGGUGUGAGUGCCAAUGAGACAACUCUCCAUCCAAAUAACAAUUUAAAAAUUAAACCAUUAUAGGUUAAAGUACGGCCUUCAACACGGAGCCUUGGCUCACACCGAACAACAAGCUAUAAAGGGCCCCAAAAUUACUAGUGUAAAACCAUUCAAAAGUUUAGUUUUGAACAGUUAUAGAACAAUAUGCUAAAUUAUAGUUAACCAAGAAAAAAAGA